rnacentral:misc_RNA from 1 species
GAUGAAGAACGUAGCGAAAUGCGAUAAGUAAUGUGAAUUGCAGAAUUCAGUGAAUCAUCGAAUCUUUGAACGCACAUUGCGCCCGCUAGUAUUCUGGCGGGCAUGCCUGUCCGAGCGUCAUUUCAACCCUCAAGCCCCCGGGCUUGGUGUUGGGGAUCGGCGAGCCUCCGCGCCCGCCGUCCCCUAAAUCUAGUGGCGGUCUCGCUGUAGCUUCCUCUGCGUAGUAGCACACCUCGCACUGGGAAACAGCGCGGCCACGCCGUUAAACCCCCAACUUCCGAACGUUUGACCUCGGAUCAGGUAGGAAUACCCGCUGAACUUAAGCAUAUCAAUAAGCGGAGGA